rnacentral:siRNA from 1 species
CACGACUGUGGAGCGAUUGGACA